rnacentral:tRNA from 1 species
ACCUGGCUAGCUCAGUGAGUAGAGCACAUGGCUGUUGAUCUUGGGAUCAUGAGUUCAAGCCCCAUAUUGGGUG